CCUACGGGGGGCAGCAGUGGGGAAUAUUGGACAAUGGGGGCAACCCUGAUCCAGCCAUGCCGCGUGUGUGAAGAAGGCCCUCGGGUUGUAAAGCACUUUCAGUGAGGAAGAACGCCUGGUGGUGAAUACCCAUCAGGAAAGACAUCACUCACAGAAGAAGCACCGGCUAACUCCGUGCCAGCAGCCGCGGUAAUACGGAGGGUGCGAGCGUUAAUCGGAAUUACUGGGCGUAAAGCGCGCGUAGGUGGCUUGAUAAGCCGGUUGUGAAAGCCCCGGGCUCAACCUGGGAACGGCAUCCGGAACUGUCAAGCUAGAGUGCAGGAGAGGAAGGUAGAAUUCCCGGUGUAGCGGUGAAAUGCGUAGAGAUCGGGAGGAAUACCAGUGGCGAAGGCGGCCUUCUGGACUGACACUGACACUGAGGUGCGAAAGCGUGGGUAGCAAACAGGAUUAGAUACCCUUGUAGUC
rnacentral:rRNA from 1 species